CUCUGUCAAGGGUGUCAGGAGACACCCCAUGAGAUAUGAUACUUCAUAAAUCUGAGAGCCCUCCAAUAUUCAGAAGAAUCUAGGCCUCCUCAGGCUGCUUUCUCCAACUGUAUCUCACCUUAUACUGGGAACUGUAAAUGCCAUUGGAGAAGUCCAAACCCUAAAAAGGACAAAAGUUCUCACCAGUCUAGUCUCUUUCCCUGCUGAUAAUGGUCUACAUAAUUCUGAAAUUACUUGGUCUGUAGCAUCGUUGGAUCAGAAGAAGAGAAAUGAAAAUAUAGAUGAUUUCAGCACAGAAUGAACACAUGUCAGGAAAACACUAAGAAUUUGGAUGGUAAUAGUUUCAUUUUUGUUUAAAGAUUCGCUAGUAGUUAUUUUCUUCUUUGAAAGGUAAACAAAAUUUCAAUCAUAUUCACAAAAUGGAAGGUAUCCCACAAAUAUAAGUUACCUAAAAACUUAAAAUUAGC
rnacentral:lncRNA from 1 species